rnacentral:tRNA from 1 species
GCAUUGAUGGUUCAGUGGUAGAAUACUUGCCUUUCAAGUGGCAGACUUGGGUUUGAUUCCCAGCCACUGCA